UAUCUCUCCGUACGGGGAAGGAUGAGAAGCUUCGACUAAGGUUCGAUUCGAGCGCAGCGAGAAAGCGUUGCCGC
rnacentral:sRNA from 2 species